GAUAACGUGAUGCUUAUACUGUGUGUGUGUGUGUUUGUUUGCUGUUUGCCAACCCUUUUUUGUGUGUGAGGAGCUAGUGAGUGGGAUGUUUGGGUCGUGCUGUUAAGCAGCAGAGACAGAGGAGGAAGUUCUUCAGGAUGUUUGGAGUCGAGAGAGUUUGUUGUGUCUUUUUCUUUUAUGUGACCGUGUGUCUACAGAGUUUGUAAAAAAACGCCACAAAGGAGUUUUCUUUUCUUUUCUUUUCUUUUUUUUUUAAAAUCUGAAUUUCAGUGUGACUACAACGUUCAGGAGAAUACAAACACCAACAAACGCCCAGCAUCAUCAUGGAGAAAUUCAAGGCCGCCAUGAUUCUGGGAUGUGCUGGAGACGCCCUGGGCUACAGAAAGGGCCGCUGGGAGAGCUGCACCUCGGGCAAGAAGAUCCAGGAGGAGCUGGCCUCUCUGGGGGGACUGGCAGCCCUGAAGCUGGACCCUGAUAACUGGCCACUGAGUGAUGCGGCGCUGAUGCAUAUGACCACAGCAGAGGCGCUCGUGACAGAUUACUGGUGUCUGGAGGAUCUGUACCGGGAGCUGGUGCGUCUCUACGUUGAAGCCAUGGUUUCCCUCCAGGGCAGAGCUCCUGAUCCUGCAACCGUGGAGGGCUGCGUUCACCUCAAACCUCACAACUUCCUUCUCGCCUGGCACACACCUUUCAAUGAAAAAGGGUCUGGGUUCGGAGCAGCUGCUAAAGCCAUGUGUGUGGGUAUGCGAUACUGGCAACCUGAGAGGCUAGAAAACCUGGUGGAGGUCAGCAUUGAGGUUGGCAGAAUGACGCACAACCACCCUACAGGCUUCCUAGGUUCCCUGACAACAGCGCUGUUUGCAUCCUACGCCAUCCAGGGGAAGCCUGUUGUGAACUGGGGCCGGGACCUCAUGAAAGUCAUCCCCCGAGCUGAGGAGUAUUGCAAGAAGACCAUACGACACAUGGCAGAGUAUCAGGAAAACUGGUUCUAUUUUGAGGCCAAGUGGCAGUUUUACCUCGAAGAGCGAGAGAUCGACAAGGAGGGGCAGAACAAACCUUCCUUCCCGGAUCGCUACGACGCCGAGGAGACAGACAAAACAUACAAGCGCUGGAGCUCAGAAGGCCGUGCGGGUCGGAGAGGUCAUGACGCCCCCAUGAUAGCUUACGACGCCCUUCUGGCUGCGGGGAGCGACUGGGCCGAGUUGUGUAAACGAGCCAUGUUCCACGGAGGUGAGAGCGAAGCCACAGGCCUGAUUGCGGCUUGUCUCUAUGGCCUCAUGCACGGCCUGAGCCAGGUUCCUCCAGGCCUGUACCAGGAUUUGGACAAACGAGAACGCCUGGAGGAGCUGGGGGAAGCGCUGUUCAAGGCGGCAUCUUCAGAGAAAUGCAUAGACAAACCAGAUUCUGUGAAAACCACUAUCAGCCCCAAUGGCAGUACACUGAGGAAGUUGAUUAGAGACCCCAAAAGCCACCCGGUGCUUCGAGGGAUUCUCGAGAGUCUUCUGCGAUACCUAACACAGGAUCUUCCCAUGUGGACCACCAGACACAGUAACCCGGAGAAGUCAGUCGGUAUUCCAGCACAAACGAACGCAGACUGUCAGACUUCAGUGACUCAGCUUCAGGCAGGCGGCAAGAUGGCUCAGCUUCCUGGGAAAAUGAACCGUGGGGAAACUCCUGAGACCAGUCCCGACAGCUCUGAAAAGUGCUCGUUGGCUCCACAAACAAACAAGCUGCCAAGAAGGUGUGGAGGCGAUCAAAGAGCGGGAGACUUGAUACCCAGGCGCAUUACCACAUUCCAGCUCCUGCAAUCCAAAUUCACAAGGACCACACCCAAACCCACCAUCACCCACCAGAGGGAGGUAGGAAGUCUGUCCUCCAAAAGAGGAGUUCAGGGUCACGUGAACCCAACCAAAGACGAUGAACGUGACGUGCAAAAAAAGGGAAAAGCUAAAAGAGCACAAGACAUAAAGAGACAAGGCAGCGUGAAGGAUAUGGUGGCUAAGUUUGUGAUGGCUGAGCAGAAGGAACAGGGACUGAAAACGCAGAUCAAACCCAGACUCGUUGGAAAGGGGGGCCUCUUACCUUCCUUAAUGGAGAAGUUCGAGGCCAUAGCCACCGUACGCAAGGGGAGCGACUUGAAAUGUUUACACGGAAAGCCUCCCGGAGGAGUCAAGCUAGCAACUAAUAUAAAAGAGAAGGUGGCUUGUCUUGAACGAGAGAAACAAGUGAGAGAUCAAAGUGUCCACAAACAAAACCCGCAGAAGCAAAUAAAUAUUGAACCAGCGGGAGAGAAGUUGGAAGGAAAUCGAAUCACAAAUGGGCAAGAACAAAAACCAGAUCAGGGAGCAGACAUUUUAACAAAAGUGAAGUCAUACACAGAAGAAAAUAAUAAAUUGGAAGCAGACCAACUUUCAGAUCACAGCGUUCACUCUUCAUUAAACCAGGACCGAGUUUAUGACACUGAUGUUAAACAUUCGGGGGCCGAGGACUUUGAUAAAUUUCAGACUGCAGCCGAGGAAACUCAGUGUAUCGCCAACGGAUUAAGACGUGGAUGUCUGGAGGUGCUCUGUUUAACUUCCGUGACAGAGUGGUCACUCCCGCAACCUUUCGUGCUUCUUCCCAAGGAUGAAGCCCCAUUGAACGUUAAUGCGGCGACCAUCACCACCUCCUCUCCUGUGUGGUGCACAUGCGUCGAUUCCUCCCCAGAGCAACAGCUGCACCACAAUAAACCUGAGGCUGAAGAAAGUCAAAACCUGGACAAGAUAUCAAGGAAAAUAAAAGAAAGUUCUUGUGGAGGUCAACCACACUCUCACAGUGUGUCGGUCACAAGUGAAUCCUCCACUACAACAACUGAAGGCAACUUAGAACCAAAAAUCAAAGGCUUUUCCAUGGACGCAUGUCAUGACCCCAUUGAAAAUGGAGAACAAAAUCCCCUGGAGCCUAUGGCCACUCAAAGAGGGCUGCCCAAGUAUGUCAUCCCACGUGUUUACAGGGUUGAUCACAACGAUUCCUCCUUUCAACUGGCGCAGAACCAACAAGCUGUAACUCCACCAUCACAAUCCGAUGCUUCUACGUCCGCUGUGUUAGAGACAAUGGAAACGUUUCGUGACAUCAGCUUUGAUGCAAUAACAAGAAACAAACCAGAAGAGGGUAAACCAAGAGAAAGGAACAGCGAGGCCGAAGAGGAAAAAGAAGUAAUACUAGAAGAAAGAAAACAGACUUGUUUGCCACAAAGUUUUUUCACAAGACUUUGUGAAGACGCUGCUUUUGAAGACAAAGAGACUGUAACACAAACAGAGAUUCGUCCAGAGAGAGGCAACACAAAACUGAGACCAAAGUACAAAACAAUUAACUACGGGGAUCCUUCAGUCAAACAAACAUAUAAACCCAAAAUCAUACGAUUUACGGACACCUUUAAUUUCUAGGUAGUGAGAGAUUAACUCUCAGUGCAGCUUCACACAGCAACUACAAAAGAACAAGUUUGUUUUAAGCUGCACAUGCAGAGCAAACGAACAAUAUCUACUGCACUUAUCUUGUGCAUACAUUACUAAUCUUUGCAAUAUGGAUGCAAAGAUUAUUUUCACAUUCAAUGUCCUUCAACAUUGUGAUUUGGCUGAUAACUUUUAAGUGGCUUACAACAUUUACUGUGGCUUUUACCAAGAGCGUGUCAAGGUUGAAAUGUUGCUACAGCCAACUUCAUUUACUAUAGACUCCUUCACAGUUUGUAAACAGUUAUGAGUUUUUUUUGAGACGUGGGGUUUAACUGGAUGCAAAACAUCUCAAACACUGUAGUUUGUAAACAGUGGUUAGAAUAUUACAAAAGACUGUUUUGGCAAGAAUGGAUGAAGAAAACACGUAUUUUAGAGAAUAUACUAAUACAAAAGUUGACUCGUACUGAUGGGACGACCCCUACACUCUCACUCACUGGAUGGACGAUUUGAGCAAAGGAGGACACAGAGGGGACGAAGUCUGGUCUGUCUUUAUCAAGAGAAGCCUCUCCUACAAAGAUAUUACAAGAAGACAAAGUGACGCUUGUCUGGAGAAGAUGAAUGGUCGCAUGUGGUGCCAAACAUGCCAGUAGCUGGAACUUUGGUCCAAGCCACUGAUCCAACAACCCCGCCCACUGGCAGGAUUACACCAGUGCAGAAGCAUGAGGCUGCAUUUGGAUCGGUAUUUCCACAAGAGGAUAAGAGCCCCAGGCCUACAUGAUCCAUCAUCUGUCCAUCCCCGGGCUAAUCUUGCCAGGGACUGAUGAUAAGGAGUAUGCUGUCGUCACUGAAUGGUCAUGUGCGCAUGGAGGGCAGAAACGCUCUAAUCAGAUUUUAAGUAAUUUGAUUUAGGAAACGUUAAAUGUGGCUCUGGACAAAUUUGCUUGCUUGGUUUUCUACAGAUCCACUGUGAUUCCAAAUAUACACACAGUCUUAUAGCUUAAACACACACAGACACUACUUAGUUUAAAGGUAUUUGAGUCAUCAUCAGUUUCUGUCAACUACUUUAUGAAUCACCACAUGAAACAAA